rnacentral:rRNA from 1 species
AGUGAACGCUGGCGGUAGGCCUAACACAUGCAAGUCGAACGGCAGCACAGUAAGAGCUUGCUCUUACGGGUGGCGAGUGGCGGACGGGUGAGGAAUACAUCGGAAUCUACUUUUUCGUGGGGAUAACGUAGGGAAACUUACGCUAAUACCGCAUACGACCUACGGGUGAAAGCAGGGGAUCUUCGGACCUUGCGCGAUUGAAUGAGCCGAUGUCGGAUUAGCUAGUUGGCGGGGUAAAGGCCCACCAAGGCGACGAUCCGUAGCUGGUCUGAGAGGAUGAUCAGCCGCACUGGAACUGAGACACGGUCCAGACUCCUACGGGAGGCAGCAGUGGGGAAUAUUGGACAAUGGGCGCAAGCCUGAUCCAGCCAUACCGCGUGGGUGAAGAAGGCCUUCGGGUUGUAAAGCCCUUUUGUUGGGAAAGAAAAGCAGCAGGUUAAUACCCCGCUGUUCUGACGGUACCCAAAGAAUAAGCACCGGCUAACUUCGUG